UACGUAGGGGGCAAGCGUUGUCCGGAAUCAUUGGGCGUAAAGAGCGUGUAGGCGGCCAGGUAGGUCUGCUGUGAAAACUCGAGGCUCAACCUCGAGACGUCGGCGGAAACCAUCUGGCUAGAGUCCGGAAGAGGAGAGUGGAAUUCCUGGCGUAGCGGUGAAAUGCGCAGAUAUCAGGAAGAACACCCGUGGCGAAGGCGGCUCUCUGGGACGGUACUGACGCUGAGACGCGAAAGCGUGGGAGCGAACAGG
rnacentral:rRNA from 1 species